UAAAAACAACAUGAUACAGUUUUAUGCUGAUGGAGUAGUGGACUGGUCGUCCAUUACAUUUAUUUACAUUCAUAAAAAGACAACCAGCCUCACGCUCGCUACACUAGCGGUACUACAUACAUAACUAAAAUAGACUGGGUUAGUAGGUCAAGGCCGGGGUCAAGCACAUCCUCCGAUCUGAAACCUCCCGCACAACAUCAGCCCUAAUGACAACACUCAUAUCUGGCCUUGGGUCAGCUUACACAGACACACCCUCCUGUGAUACAAGGUCAUGACCUCACACCACAAACAUGUACAAUAAACUCUAUGUCCUGUGAUACGCUGUCAUGACGUCACAUCACAAAGGGAGAUGUAUGACAAACUUGUCUGUGAUAUGUCAUCACACAAAUUGAUCAGUGUUAAAUGAUUAAAUAUAAUUCUAUCUUCGUUGAAAGUUAUCCAACAAAACCAUUUUCUGUGUAUAGCCACCAAGUUUAAAGAACCUAUAAAAAGAUAAAUUUAACGUUUUCUGAAAUCAAUUAGUUAAAAAUGUGGCGAUCAAUAAACACUUAGGAAAAAUUACAAUGUAAUAAAAAAACAAAAGCAUAUUACAAAUACAGGUGUACUGUCGGCUGACCAUAGAAACACGUGUACCGACGGCUGACCACAGAUACAGGUGUACCGACGGCUGACCACAGAUACAGCUGUACAGACGGCUGACCAUAGAUACAGGUGUACUGUCAGCUGACCACAGAUACAGGUGUACCGACGGCUGACCACAGAUACACGUGUACCGACGGCUGACCACAGAUACAGGUGUAUCGACGACCGAGUGACCACAGAUACAGGUGUACCGAUGACCAACCAUAGAUACAGGUGUACCGACAGCUGACCACAGAUACAGGUGUACCGACGGCUGACCACAGAUACAGGUGUAUUUGUGGCUGACCACAGAUACAGGUGUACCGAUGACCAACCAUAGAUACAGGUGUACAGACGACUGACCAUAGAUACAGUCGUAUUGACGACUAACAAAGAUACAGGUGUACAGACAACCGGCCACAGGCACAUGUGUACCAAUGGCUGGCCACCGGUACAAGCGUACCGACGUCGACCAUAGGCUCUCAUGCACACCACACUCAUAAUAUUACUACCUGGAACUCCCUUGGCCAGUAAUGGUAACACACCCAAAGGUAUGAUACAUGUAAUUGUGACUUACAGAAAUAAAAACAAUUUCAUGCUUUUGUAAUUCUCCACUUUAAAUACCAUAUCACAUUGAAGGAACUUGUAGCGGUUCCAUUUCAAAAUAGCCAUACCCCAUGGAAGGCACCUUAGUUUGAGGGCACCACCGAGAGACUUCAAUUCACAAUACAAUAAUGCAGCUUUUGCUUUAUCACACAAUUUACUGAAGUUUCUUUCUAAUGGUUUCAUUAUUUUUUUCAAACUACCUUACCCUCCAAUAUUGUUUUACACUUCAUUAAUCUUCUGAUCGUCAAUCAAGUGCGUUUAAAUUAAUUCACAUAACAGUAUUAGAUUCGGGGAAAACAGAGGAAGUAUCAACAGCUUCGAAAAAAAUGUAUAGAACUUUGUGUGUUGAUCAGAAGCAUUUACACCUAAGUACUGUCUGGAGACAAUUUUGAGACAGGUAUUCUAAUAUUCCCCUCUAUUGAACUUAACAAGACUACCUUCAAAAAUAAUAAUUUGAACAGGAAGUUUCCAUAUGAAAUAUAGCCUAAACACUAAUUAAGUUAAGAUUUGUCUGAUGAAAUUAGAAAAUUUUAUUAUUUAGUUUACCGCCUGUUUUACACGAAUGUCUCACAAAUAUUUGGAUAUUGAGAUGUUUCCCUUCGACUACAACACAAACGAUAGCGUCCUACUCAAUCUCAAUACCAGACUAACAAGUGCUCAAUUCUGCUCCAGUUACAUUCUCAACAAUAUGCCAAACAGACUUUUUCUUUUACACCAAUCGCUAAUAAAAAGCAACGACAAUUUCAUUGUUGUGGUCCUCCACUUUCCAACUUAACCCUUUCACCCCUAGGUAACUUUAGUAGACUCUACCAUGCAUUUAUGGGGAUGAGUCCAUUAUGGUCUGCGGCGGUGAAAGGGUUUAAGCCAAGGACUAGAAAACUAGACUUUAUAUUACUUUUUAAUCACCUAAAUAUGCGGUAUGGCCACAUCAACUUGACAAUCCACCAUAUCUAGACUACAGCAGUCAUAUAUAAUCUCAGACAUGCAUAAAUCAAACUUUUUCUUUUCAAAACACCAUCCAGUCUUUGCCGUUACGUCUUGGUGAGUCGGUAAAGA